GGGCGCAAGCCUGAUGGAGCAACACCGCGUGAGUGAAGAAGGGUUUCGGCUCGUAAAGCUCUGUUGUUGGAGAAGAACGUGCGUGAGAGUAACUGUUCACGCAGUGACGGUAUCCAACCAGAAAGUCACGGCUAACUACGUGCCAGCAGCCGCGGUAAUACGUAGGUGGCAAGCGUUAUCCGGAUUUAUUGGGCGUAAAGCGAGCGCAGGCGGUUGCUUAGGUCUGAUGUGAAAGCCUUCGGCUUAACCGAAGAAGUGCAUCGGAAACCGGGCGACUUGAGUGCAGAAGAGGACAGUGGAACUCCAUGUGUAGCGGUGGAAUGCGUAGAUAUAUGGAAGAACACCAGUGGCGAAGGCGGCUGUCUGGUCUGCAACUGACGCUGAGGCUCGAAAGCAUGGGUAGCGAACAGGAUUAGAUACCCUGGUAGUCCAUGCCGUAAACGAUGAGUGCUAGGUGUUGGAGGGUUUCCGCCCUUCAGUGCCGGAGCUAACGCAUUAAGCACUCCGCCUGGGGAGUACGACCGCAAGGUUGAAACUCAAAGGAAUUGACGGGGGCCCGCACAAGCGGUGGAGCAUGUGGUUUAAUUCGAAGCUACGCGAAGAACCUUACCAGGUCUUGACAUCUUGCGCUAACCUUAGAGAUAAGGCGUUCCCUUCGGGGACGCAAUGACAGGUGGUGCAUGGUCGUCGUCAGCUCGUGUCGUGAGAUGUUGGGUUAAGUCCCGCAACGAGCGCAACCCUUGUUACUAGUUGCCAGCAUUAAGUUGGGCACUCUAGUGAGACUGCCGGUGACAAACCGGAGGAAGGUGGGGACGACGUCAGAUCAUCAUGCCCCUUAUGACCUGGGCUACACACGUGCUACAAUGGA
rnacentral:rRNA from 2 species